UACCAUCAUCAUACAACUUCUCUUGCGGCUUCCUACCACCAAGAACCUUCCUACGGAUGAAAUUAAUCAUCUAUAAUCGAUUAUCAAUAAUUUAGAUAAGUAAAUUUUCUCAAUUUUGAUAAUAAAAAUCGCUGUUUACAUACUCUAUAAAAACAGUGAUUAGUGCAGUAUAAAUUAGUGAUACCCGUAGUUAUAAAUAGUGGUAGAGAAACUGGUUU
rnacentral:lncRNA from 1 species